GGCGCAUUCAACGCCGAGACACCGACAUACGGAAGACGACUCAACUCGUGAAAUUUUACAGUCUUUCAUUUUAAAGGGCUGUUUUUUAUUCUGCUCAAAUUUGAUUUUCGCUUCUUUGUUGUCCUUAUUUGCUCUUGUUAUUUUCGUCACUGCCGUAGCGGCGGUGUUUUUUGUCAAGGUUGCUUUUCAACCCCUUGCGAGUGUCAUGUUUUUUUCUAGAUUACAGUUUUCUUCUUUGUUAGAAAUUGCGGCGAUGCUCUGCAGCCACGUCGCACCCAGGUUUUUUUUUAUUUUUUAAUUUAAAACUCUUGCGGGCAUGAGUGUCCAGAAAAAAAAAUGAUGUCAACAAACAUCGGACCAAAAACUUUGAGCCGUGCAAGAUUAAGAGUAAUUUCAGCACAGCACCCACCCCACAAUCCUCGGUCCCUAACGAGUGUGGCCCCCAGCAUCGUAGAGUAUAAACACGGGGAGACCCAGGCCAUGCACAAGAUGCACGUGGGCAAACUAGUGGAGGUUGUGUGUGUGUGUGUGUGUGUGUGUGUGUGUGUGUGUGUGUGUGCGUGUGGGUGUGUGCGUGCGUGUGUGUGCGCGCGCGCGUCUGUUCUUUUGCGGGCGGAGUGUCACUUUUCUGGGAGUAAUUGGACCCCCAAACCGCUUAAAAAUAAAAAAUAAAACCUGUUUCAAAUACACACACAAAAACACACGCAUACACUUUACUUACACACCUGUAAGGUACGUGCAUAUGGCAGGGAUUCCCCAACAAUAGCAUUUUAAUUUAGGGAGAAUCCCAGAUUGGCAGAUGGAGAGGAAUAAGGGAACAUAAGGAAACCGGGCAGUCUCCAUCCCGCUCCCGUAGCCUGCGUGCAGCCUCUCCUUUAACACACACACAAGCACACACACACGUGUUCCGAUAGUUAAUCCACCUAGCAUCUCACACCACGUCUUUUUAACCUGAACCACCAAAUAAAAAUAAAAGAAACUGAAUGUCUUCAGCUCUGCAGCCUCCAGGGGAAAAAAGCACAUGCAACUUUACGCUCAGUUUGUCUCUGCUGUCCCCUCAGAGCUGAAGGGAGCAUCGGUGUACAUAAUCACGAUGCAUCCCGAACUACAUUUGCAAUAAAGGGCCAAAUAGCAGCCAAGUGUCUCAAAUUCGAGGAAGUGAAGAUACUCGGAAAUGUUUGGCCCCUUUCCACUGCAGGUUGAGAGUGUCAAGAAAAUAUAUUGUCAGCCUGUGAAGUGUGCACGUCAGAGAGGAGAAAGGCACGUCAUUUAAAUCUAAAUCAAACCUUUUAGAGGCAGGCCUAUGUGUAUUUUGGCAAAUCAGAAAAGCAAGCUCAAAAAGUUCAGUGAGCAAAGUCCUUGAUUAAAAAAAAAAGCUGUCUGCACGCAAUUUUUCGAAAACAGACGGAUGGCGUUAUCUUCUAUAAAGGGAAACAGCAUGACCUCUGACCUGUUUCGUUGCAUUGCGUUUCUCUCUCCUGUUACCCUUGAUGACUAAAGCGAGGAUGACUCUGUGUCGGCUGAGGAUGUGACUGAAGGGAAACGUAUGCAUCGUUUAAGGGUGAGGUAAUGGCUGCUUGUAGGUUUGUAUCAAUCUGACGCGUGAAACAACGUGUGUUAAAUAGCUCGUGCAGAAUCUGAUAUUAAGACAUCCGGAUGCAGGUGACAUUGUUUUCCCACAUCCUUCCAAAUCUCCAUGACUGUCCUGUCCGCGAGGGCCUGCGUGGAGGCAAGGCUGCAGAUUGACUUUAUUAUAGUCGGUUCGACCAAACCCUUCACGUCUUGUCUUUCUGUCUUACAGGAGAGAAACAAUGAAAAGAGGAACAGGAGCAAAUAUGGAGAAGAGAACCGCACAUAGCGAGCGAGACAACGACGGACCGACCGACCUUCCUCCACCUCGUCCUCUUCCCUAACCCGAGACAGGUAAUUGCAUGGCCGGUUAGAGGAUGACGUCAAACCCAAGUCAUUCUUUUCAAUUGCAUUUUGCGUUAGUCUCGUUAUGACCGCUCGCUGCUUGAGAACAGGAGAUUGCGCAGAGGCUUCUGGUCAUUUCUGGUCUUUUCUCUUUCUUCUUGAUUCAACCAGGCCUUUUAAUCGUUUGUGCCAACAACUGUUGUGUCGCCUCUGAAUUGAAAUACUCUCUCAGGCGUCGAUAGUUUCCGUUCUUACUGGUUUGAGUUGUCAAACAACUUAAUGUUACAGCGAAAUAAGUUCGAAUUUUAAAAAGUUAUAAUUAAAAGUCGUCCCGGUAUUUCACAUGCCGUCAUGUAAAUCCGGAUUGCUGUGAUCUAUGAAAUGACCCCGGCGACAUUUUGCAAUUGGUCACACGGAAUUUUGAAUCAUGCUUUUCUGCUGUUUUAUAGCUCACGUGAUAUUUCAGUGAUCAUAUGUCACUGUAUUUUCGGAUGAUAAUGCAGAGACGUCGCUUGCCAUUUAGUAUGUGAUUGUUAGGUCUUUCAUUUGUCAUCCCACUUGAGAGAUGUUGGAUUUAUGUAUCUGCAAAUUAUGUGAGCAGGUGCAGAGCAUGCUUGCACUGUGCGUGUGCGCGUUAGACUCUUUGGUUUCUGGCACCUGGAGCUGUAAAGUCCUCUCCCCAAUACCUGCUAUGUCACAGUGUGAGUCAUCAUAUCGUCGACAGUUCAGGCAACACCUCCACGUCACUUUACAUUUUCUUCACCCUUUUACCCCGUAUUUGUAUGACAGCAGGGGAAACGUGCAGUGAUCAGGUGCAGCAAUUCAGCCCCAAAGUAGCUGUAUUCUAAAGCAAAAAAAGCCCCACCCUGUCUAUAGAAUAGGUUUUAUUAUUGCAGCAAUGGUCAAUUUCCAUUGUGCAUCAAACAGUAGAGUAAACAUGACCGUGAAGGUCAACCUUCUCUUUUUGGAGGCAUUUCAUUGCAGCUUUUUUGCAUCUCCAUUACAUUUGUUGGUGCAUUCAGUUGCUCCUGUGCUUCUGAGACAGGAAGUGGUAAUCACAGCAGGUUUGACAAUAAUGUUGCAACAAAAUGGAGGCCGGGGGUGUUUUAGUCAUGUGUGUGCUGUGUGAAUAAAACACCUGCUGAUUUCCUACAAAAGACAGGAAUUUUGCUGUCUUUUUUAAGAUGAGUAGUGCGGCUUUCAGUAAUAAAUGAAAAAUUAGCAUUUUGAAUGCACUGCCGGCUGUAUGUCAGGUUUGAGUCCUUCUCUCGUGUUCAGUAAGGGAUUGUUCCAGAAGUUAGAGUAAAUCAUUUCCCUAAUCAAAUUACCAAAAUGAUUCCCUCUAUUUACAGUAAUGCAGAUAUUUCGAAAUGUUUUUGAGGUAGAAAGCUCUUAUAUUUCCACCUUCACCCAAAACAACUGUGGCAUAUUUACAGUGUCCUUAUUCAUCAGAAUACUGACCACUAAACACUCAACACUCGUCUCUGGGACCAUAUCUUCAGAGAGAAAGACGAUCUGAUGAAAUCUGACCAUACAGACUCUGCAAUUCUCUUUGUUUCAGUCACAUGACUUGAGGGAAGAGAAAUUCUCGCAAAACAUUGUGUGUGUAUUUUUUCCUUUGAAAUAAUUUAGAUAAUUUGCUUAGUUUGCUGUGCUUGUUGUCUACUUCCCCUGAUUUGUAUCACUUGCACGUCUUUUAUUGUGACGCUUUCGUUGUUGUUUCAUCAAAAUACUAUACACCAACUAAAAGCACAAGGAUUCGGUCAACGAUGAAACAGAGCAAACAGUUUGAGUAUUUUGAUUUGUCCUUCCUUUGUGUAGUUUGUUUGAAUGUAAAAUGUUCUAUUUGAAGAGAUGUAAGAUACUAUUGGGCUGUAUAUCAAAAGGGGUUUACAAACAUAGCUGGUGAAAUUAUACUUAUUUCUUACUGUUAAUAUUUAUUUCAAAUAAAACCAUGAUCUCAGCGAUGAUUUGAUCAUAUUAGAAAGUAUCCCUGUGUAGCCACACCCUCAUACCUUAUACCUUGGUACCAAAGAACUCCGUUGACAAACUGGAGGCUUCAAAACGACAGUCCACCAACCAAAGGGCGACAUCACAACAAAUAAAUGCACCUAUUUUAUACAGUCAACUGGUGUGGCGUAUGCUGUCGCAUCAGGACGUCCUGUGGACAGACCUACUGACUCACACACGCAGUGAGGCACACACGUGAUGGAUUAGGGAGAUAUUAAAGUAUUUAAAAAUGUAAAACUGGAUUUGCAAAACUGGAUUUUCCCUGGUGAAUGUUUCAAAUCAAUAUUUUUGAAGUGAAAAAGUUAUUGGCAAAGAAAAUGCUAAUUGGAAUCUAAAUUAACCCACCUGGAUAGUCUCCAAAAUAUUAACACAUCAAUAAAAAGUGACUCUGUAUUUACAUGUAUAUACAUCCGCUGCUUGUAAUCCUGACAGCUAAUAACUUAUUAUGGAGAUGGACAGAUGAUGAACAGUGUUUAAUAGUAUUACAUCUCUGAGAAUUUCGAUGGAUCAAAGGUCGAGGUGUGCAUUAUAUCAUAUAUGUACAAUUAUACGCAUAAAAAAACAUAUUCAAAAACAUUAGGCAGCCGAAACAAAUAGAUCAAUGGCAAAAAUCCUGCAAAUACAGAAAUGAUAACAAGUAAAAAACACAAAAGCCUCGAAAGAAAAGAAACACGUGUAUUGUGUGUACUGUUAAAACAUUUGCUCUGUCUCUGUAGCACAUUUCUUCAUCUCCUGCACAUUUAUGCUGUAUUUACUUUGUUGAAAAAAAAACAUUAAUUUUCUGAACUGCUUUUACAGAACAGACAUAAAAAUGCAUACACGCAUGCAAGAAUUGGCAAAAAGGAUAUUAAGAGGUAAAUGUUUUUUUGCAUGAAUCUACAAAAAGCCUACAUUUUACUUUCGGGUUUGGAUAUUAAAAAAAUGGGUUGGUUAGUCCACAAGAACAGGAAUAAUAAUAAAUGAUGUUCCUGUUCAAGUGGUAUUUUCCCAUUAAGUUAUAAAAUGAGACCUUUAAAAACUGGAGGACAAGCUCUGGAGUGCAGGGUUUUAGUCACAGAGCUUGACAUUUCUUCAUGAGUCUAAUGAAAAACCUGGGGCAAGUUGAGAUUUUAGUCAGUCGAGGCAACUUUCCCCCAGGCAGUUAAACAACAUCACCUGAUAUUAGUCGGCAAACCUUCAACAAUUUUUACUUGUUCAGACCCUGACAACAACAUGACCACCUUGUAAGGAGUGAUGAACGUCUUCACACUUCACACAAGGGACACAUCUUUGUCCUGACGCUGUCUCGCCUUCCCAUUCGAUGAAACUGCACACUCAUAACAUUUUGAGGAAAGUCAUUUCUUCCUGUUGUUGAUGUUGUAAAUUGAAAUACAACAAACUGUGCUGUCUCCUAAGGAGGUUUUACAUAUUCUGACUUCUUCUUGGCUUUAAUUGUGUGUCUGUGUGUGUGUGUCCUUUUGAGUCUCUGGAGGUCUUGAUCUCUUGGUGUUGAGAAACGGUACUCUCCCUGUCAGCAUUUUAAUGGCGAGGGGAGAAGAAGGUGUGAUUGUUUGUGUGUGUGUGUGGUGGCGGCAUGGUGUGGGGGGGGGGGUAUCAUCACCAGCACCACCACUCCUGGUCGUGACUCACAGCGCACAAUGGGUUUCACUCCUCUCCGAACCCUUUAUUUAUUUUUAGCUGAGCAACGUUAUAUAUGACUGUAGAACUGCAUACAAGAUGACACACAUGCACACAUACAGACACACAAAGGAAAAUAUGUGAUGCACAACAUACUUUUUUUCAUACACACAUUUUUCUUACACUAUCUCAUAUUUCUAGAGUGUUGUGUGUAUGUGUCUUGUAAUUAGUUAACAGGCUUUAUACUCUGUGUGUAUACUUUAUAGCUCAAAUCUGGCAUUAUAGCUCAAAUUUGAAGACUAACAUUGUCGUUAAAAUCCAAUCCAAGUUUGCAUAUUUGAUCUCACCAAAGAAGCAAUCACAAAUAUUAAUCUUAAACCUCCACAAAAUACCCAAUAAAAGUUGAUGCAAAGCCCAGUUCAGACUUUUAAUUGAGUUUAAUUGUUUGAAUUAGUCAAAGCUAAUAAUGAUUAUUUCUGUUUUUCUGGACAACAUUUGGGUCACCAUUAGCUGGGCGGUUGGGCUUCUGUAAACUAGCGUAUUUACCUAUGUUUCAAUUUAGUUUGGACCAGAAAACCUGCUGCUAAUGAACAUUUUAUAUUUCCUUUUUUGGGCAAACGAUUCAUCAAUUUCAUCGCUUGUGGGUUUGGUUUCAGUACCAACUCACGUAGAGAGUUUGGUUCUCUAAGUUUGAACAAUUACAUUGAAAAAUCAAUACUAUAAUACUAUAAGAUUGUUCACAAUGAUUCCCUGUGCAUUCCAGAUUAGAUGGAGAAUUGUACUAAACCCUAACCCUAUUUAGUUUUUUAAAAAUAUUUUCAAUGCUCUGAACACAAGAAACACAAUUCCAUUCACCUCGGAUGUGGGCAAGCAUGCAGGAAGAUAUGACAAACACUGAUAUUUCAAUGAAAUAAAACAAAACCUACAUCCACAUGGCUUGCGAUUUUAAUUAAAACGUCAUUGUGCUCUAGUGCUAAAUGAACCCUGCAUGUGCCACAUAUUACUGUCAUCAUUUCUCAUGCCUCCAAAUUCUUUUGUCAAACACUACAAUUCCCUGCAGGCAUCAGAGGGCUGGCCUCAAAGCUGUGCCUUUAUCCAGAUGGUCAAUUUAAAUGUUUUUCUUUAAUAAAAAGUCACGCAAACAAGCCGUGGAUAUAAAACACAUCAUAAAUAUAACAAGGGUUUCCAUCACCAAAUGUAAUAGCAGUUACGAAAUGCUCAUGUCAGACGCCCUGACACUAUGAAUUAAGGUGUGUGAGGUUAUAUAUUAAAACUGUAGUUCUAGAUUUAAAAAAAACAUUAAUAAUCUUGAAAAAGGGUGUGGGGGGGGGGUAUUUGCCGACAGCCGUGGUUACCAUGGUAACACCAAGCCCAGUUGAAUGCUACAUCCCUCUGAAAGCAGCUGCUUUGUCAGGAGCGACGGGCCUCUCAUUUUACGGUGCAGCCAAAACGCGUAGUUUUAGAGCAGAAGCAACGUGACGAGUAGUUUCCCUCACAGCGGCAGGCUCAGUGGCGCCGGUUCCUCGCUGAGUGCGGCCCGCAGCUCUUCAUCUAACAGCUUACUGUUGGUUACUGCUUCUUACCACGCUCCCAUGUGAAGUACCAAGCGGCCCACGACAAAGGAAAUGCCCAAAAUGCCCAUUGUUUUGUUUUGAAUGAGCUGUAUUUAUGCAAACAAAAACAUUGUAAUGUGUGUCUGCGUGUCCUGGAAGCACACACCAUCUUUUGUGUUAAUGCUUUUAAUGUGGAGCAACAGUGUGGCUGCAUUCAGCCGUAACAAUGUAAAAAACAUCAAAAUAUUACAAUAGAAAUUAAAGAAAGGUAAGAACAGCUCAGAUAGAUAUCGUCACGCAGGUCCAUUCGCAUCUCGCAAAUCUCUCAUAUCGCAGUCCGGCUCAAAGACUGCAACGUAGAUGGGAGACCAGACGAGUGAAAAGUAGUACACUCGUAAGUUAACGGUAUUUUACUGGCAGCAAGGACGCCAGGAAUUUACCUAUAUUUUAUGGUAUAAUACCGUAAAUGUUGUUUACACUAUGUUACCGUAAAAUGGAUUAUCGUAUGUUACCGUAAACUUGAACCAAUUUUACUGUGAAUUAACUGCAAUUUACUGGCAGUCGACGCUAGUAACUUACUGUUUUAUUUAUAGUGCCCUACCUUAAAUUACGGUAUGUUGUCGUAUAUUGGAUAACAGUUUGUUACCAUACGAUUACUGUUUUUGUGUUAUAAAUACCAGAAUGUUACCGUUAACUUAUAACCAUAUACUUUUGCAUUUAAUUCCCCACAAAUUAAAGAAAGACAACCAAACUCAUUUCGGUCAUAGUGGUUGGAGUUUAUUAGAUGCUUUGAGACAAAAAUGUUCGGCAUUUGUAACCAAGAUCAAAACAUAAAAUAUGCCGCAUGUAUACAAUAAUAAAAAAAUGAAUCAUAAAAUCAUUAGGAACAAGGUAAACUAAUAAGCAAUACGCUAUGGAACACUUUCAAUUGACCUCAGCAAACGGCUGGCGUCCUUAAUCCAGUGGCUACUGUAAAACAAACCAAAAUUAAAUAUUUAGAAACACUGUCAUUGGUAAAAUAUUAAAAUUACAAAGAUGAGCGAGACAACAAGAUGUAAGGAAGGAGAAUGUUAAUCAUGCUAAGCAAAUAACACUUACCAACGUUACUUGGAGAGACGAGGCAAUGAGAAACUCCUCUGAUGUUGAACUGACAGGUGUUCUAGAUGAACUGAGAUUACGUCUGAUAUCACGUUCAGGAGCAGUCGGUCACGAUUAACACUCAAAUCUUUUAGGCAAUGAACACUUUGAAUAAUACAAAUAUUUAUAAUCUUUACAUUCCGGCCACUGAAACGACAGCGAAGAUGGUGCAUGGGAAAGGGAGGAUGUGCUUCGCAGCAUAAGGUUGGCAGUUUGAAUCCUGGCUGCUCCCUGUGCCAAGUUGAAGUGUCCCUGAGCAAGACACUUAACUCCCAAUUACUCCACAUAAAAUUAUGUCAAACCAUGUGCGUUUUGGAUAAAAGUGACAGCUGCAUGUAUAGUAAUGUCCGGUAAGUCAAAGUCAUCAUCGUAUCUCAUGAGAUACUAUCUCAUUAUGAUGACAUACAGGACCUGUUUUUCAGUGGCUGACGUGGGCUUCCAUACAUUAACCUACAACAGAUGUAGAUGGAUUGUGAUUCACUGCACUUGUAUGUGUAUUUCCACCACUUCAUAAAUAUAUAUGUAACAUGCAGUUGAAUUACGGUAGUCUGCUAUUAUUGUAAAUUGACAGGUUUAACUGUUUAUUCAUGACAUUGGAAUGGAAAUUUAACUGUAUGUUACAGUUAUUAUGACAUACUGUAAGAUACCGUUAGAAAUGCACUGUACGUUUACAGCAAUUUGUUAUAGAGAGAUCCAUGGCCCUGUGCAGAGACUUUGUAGCUUACUGUCUGAUCCAUUUGUCUUCAUCAAUAACUUCCCCUCCUGGAUAUAUUCAAAAUAAUUUCAUGCUUUCCUUUUGCCUUCCCCACAGUAAAUGUUUUUCUCCUCACCCCAUGUCUCCUCUCCUGGUUCUAAGUUUCUGCCUCACUUGUGAUUCUCCUCUCUCCUCCUCCUCUCCCAUCUGCCUCUCCCUCUCACUCCCUCUUUGUCCUCCGCUCUCAUUCACUGCGAGCCUCUCGGGGCCCGAGGUGAGGACCGACCGACUGACUGCGACUCGGCUGAUGAGUUCUCCUUUUCCUCCUCCGUCUCCCCACCGCGGGGACUUUUCUCUGUUCUUCUCCCUCUUCUUCGUCACUGCUUUAACCUCCUCCUCUCCAACCUGUGCAUCUGCUUCCCCGCCCCCCAGUCUCUCCCAUCAUCUUGUAGGAUUAAUGUACAUCCACACGUACCCUGCGGGAGGUCUCCGUAGAGGCAGGGGAAGUUGCUGACCAAACGUGACAGAAUAGAACAUUUAAAAUGUUAAAAGAAGUUAAAAAAACUGUAGCAGGUAACUUGAGAUCGAGAGAAUAUAAAAAAUGGUAUCUGAUAAAUUGAGACGUUGUUAAUAUGAAAUGUACGUUUUUCUGGUGUGGAAAUGACAAUACUUUUAUCUAUUUGACGGUUUCUUGGUUGUUUCCUUGUCUUGGCAAGGAAAAAAAUUGCAGAGAUUAAGCCAUAACAGUGUGUGUGUGUGUGUGUGUGGAACAAGUUAUGGUGAACACAUAUUCAUCUUAAAUGAGCCACUAAAUACAUCCCAAGAAGUAGUGUUUUCCUUUUGGACGUUUGAAUUAGAGUUUAACAGAGUAAGUAGACAACGUUUGGCGUCGGGGCCAAACUGUCACAUAAGGAGAUGAGUCAGGAGCUUGUGGGUUUGAGGUUCAGGGCAGAACAGACUUUGGUUCCUUCUAUCCGAGAGGCAUUUUUCAAUUAGUGAGUUUCCUCCAGAUGCCAAAAACACAGGAACACACUGACCUGAAUUAUAUCAGCAAGAAUCAUAUUGACCUAAAACGUACCAUAUUCACCUUUUCACCGUAUUACAAAACAAAUAAA
ensembl:lncRNA